AUUGAACGCUGGCGGCAGGCCUAACACAUGCAAGUCGAGCGGAGCGGCGGACGGGUGAGUAAUGCCUAGGAAUCUGCCUGGUAGUGGGGGAUAACGUCCGGAAACGGGCGCUAAUACCGCAUACUAUCAGAUGAGCCUAGGACGGAGUAGCUAGUUGGUGGGGUAAAGGCCUACAAAGGCGACGAGCCGUAACUGGUCUGAUAGGAUGAUCAGUCAAACGGGAACUGAGACACGGUCCAGAUGCCUACGGGAGGAAGCAGUGGGGAAUAUUGGACAAGGGGCGAAAGCCUGAUCCAGCCAUGACGCUUGUGUGAAGAAGUUCUUCGGAUUGUAAAGCACUUUAAGUUGGGAGGCGUUACCAACAGAAUAAGCACCGGCUAACUUCGUGCCAGCAGCCGCGGUAAUUC
rnacentral:rRNA from 1 species